rnacentral:ncRNA from 1 species
AAAAUAAAUUGAUUUUUGUAAAUGAAAUUGAAUUAUUAUUGUAUCAUUUUAAUAUUCUUCUUUCAUCGGAGCAAUUUUGACGUGCAAAUCGAUCGUCUGACUUUGAUAUAGGAGCGAAAGACUAAUGAGACUGUCUAAUAGCUGGUUAUUCCAGAAGUUUCGCUCAGAAUAGCUUGAGUGCGCAAUGAAGCUGUUAUAUUCAGUAAAGUAAAUGAUUAGAGGAAUUGUAGGACGAAACGUCUUCAAUCUAUUCUCAAACUUUCAAUGAUUAUAAUGUCUCGUUUGCUUGAGUGACACGUUGACAUUGAAUGUGGGCUUCAAGUGGGCCAUUUUUGGUAAGCAGAAUUGGCGCUGUGGGAUGAAUCAAAUGUUGGAUAUAAGUCUUCGUUUUUUUUAGUAUUUAUCAUUUG